ensembl:snRNA U1 U1 spliceosomal RNA
AUACUUAGCUGGAGUGGAGAGGAGAUACCAUGAUCAUGAAGGGCAAGACUCAUCCAUCGCACUGUGGAUGUGCUGACCCCCGAGAUUUCCCCACAUGUGGGGAACUCAACUGCAUAAUAUGUGGUAAUGGGGACUGCCUUAGUGCUUUCCCCUG